AACGAACGCUGGCGGCGUGGCUAAGACAUGCAAGUCGAACGAGCUUUGUGCAUAGCACAAGGAAAUUCGAAGCACGAAAUCCGAAAUCUAAAACAAAUUGUAAACUUGAAUGUUCAAAUGCCAAAAAUUUAUUGUUUUUGGUAAUUCGGAUUUGUUUUGAGUUUCGAUAUUCGAAUUUCGGAUUUUCUCGUGCUGUGCACGAGGUUAGUGGCGAAAGGGUGAGUAAUGGAUAGGUAACGUGCCCUGGGCUUUGGGAUAGCGUCGUUCGCCUUCGGGCGAACUACCGAAAGGGGCGGUAAUACCAAAUAAUGUUAUUUGUCGAUGGACUUAUGACCAAAGAUUUAUCGGCGCAGGAGCGGCCUAUCUCUUAUCAGCUUGUUGGUGAGGUAACGGCUCACCAAGGCGACGACGGGUAGGGGACCUGAGAGGGUGACCCCCCACACUGGAACUGAAACACGGACCAGACACCUACGGGUGGCAGCAGUAGGGAAUAUUGCACAAUAGGCGAAAGCCUGAUGCAGCAACGCCGCGUGCGCGAUGAAGGCCUUCGGGUUGUAAAGCGCUUUUCUGGGGGAAGAGAAAGGACGGUACCCCAGGAAUAAGUCUCGGCUAACUACGUGCCAGCAGCCGCGGUAAAACGUAGGAGGCAAGCGUUAUCCGGAUUUACUGGGCGUAAAGCGCGUGCAGGCGGUUUGGUAAGUCGGACGUGAAAGCUCCCGGCUCAACUGGGAGAGGCCGUUCGAAACUACCAGACUAGAGGGCAGCAGANGGAGGUGGAAUUCCGGGUGUAGCGGUGAAAUGCGUAGAUAUCCGGAGGAACACCAGUGGCGAAGGCGGCCUCCUGGACUGUCCCUGACGCUAAGACGCGAAAGCUAGGGUAGCAAACGGGAUUAGAAACCCCGGUAGUCCUAGCCGUAAACGAUGCACACUUGGUGUUGGUGGCAUAAAACCCAUCAGUGCCGCAGCUAACGCGAUAAGUGUGCCGCCUGGGGACUACGGUCGCAAGGCUAAAACUCAAAGGAAUUGACGGGGGCCCGCACAAGCAGCGGAGCGUGUGGUUUAAUUCGAGGCUACGCGAAGAACCUUACCUGGGCUUGACAUGUUCGUAGUAGGGAUCCGAAAGGUGACCGACCCUUCGGGGAGCGAUCACAGGUGCUGCAUGGCUGUCGUCAGCUCGUGCCGUGAGGUGUCCGGUUAAGUCCGGUAACGAGCGCAACCCUUGCCCUGUGUUAUACGUGUCACAGGGGACUGCCCGUAUAAAGCGGGAGGAAGGUGGGGAUGACGUCAAGUCCGCAUGGCCUUUAUGUCCAGGGCUACACACACGCUACAAUGGCCGGUACAAUGGGUCGCGAAGCCGCGAGGCGGAGCCAAUCCUCCAAAGCCGGUCUCAGUUCGGAUCGUAGGCUGCAACCCGCCUACGUGAAGUUGGAGUUGCUAGUAACCGCAGGACAGCUAUACUGCGGUGAAUACGUUCCCGGGCCUUGUACACACCGCCCGUCACGUCAUGGAAGCUGGCAACACCUGAAGUCGGUGACCCAACCGCAAGGAGGGAACCGCCUAAGGUGGGGCUGGUAACUGGGACG
rnacentral:rRNA from 1 species